rnacentral:ncRNA from 2 species
AAGCUACUGGGGGAGCCGAAGCUCCCCCCCAAACUGGUGCGUGCUUUGUUUUUAUUAUUGAGCCGGGCUUGCUGUUCUUGUUGUUUGACCCGUACCAGCAGAUUCGUGAUCUCUGGAUAUGCCCUCGAAUCGAGGGUCAAGAGCAAACGGAUUGCUUUGGAUGCUGAUGGUGCCGUGAUCAUUCGAUCCAACCAGUUCGGGUGCUGCCUGAGUAAGCAGUU